AUGGGAGCUCUGUUUUCACUCUGUUAAAUCUUGCAACUGCACUCUCUGGUCUGUGUUUGUUACAGCUCAAGCUGAGCUUUUGCUCGCCAUCCACCACUGGGGUUUGCCGCCGUCGCAGACAGAGACCCGCCACUGACUUCCAUCUCUCCUGAUCCAGCAGGGUGUCCACUGUGCUCCUGAUCCAGCGAGGCGCCCAUUGCCGCUCCUGAUCCGGCUAGAGGCUUGCCAUUGUUCCUGCACAGCUGAGUGCCCAGGAACCGGGUAGAUGAUCUGGACAUACUUGUUUCAUUAUUAAGAUACUUUGGAACUACUUUAAAAGGAUGAGGCAAGUAGGACUGCCAGGCUCAUAUGCCAACUGUGUAGCAACAGACCAACACAGUGAGACAGUGAGGUUUGCAACAGAGAAUGCAAGACCACUGAGAGAGGAGAUGGGAGAAAUCCUCAAGCCUCAAAUCUAUCUCCUCAAGGGGUUCUUGUGUAAUUUCAUUAAAUAUGGCAGCAGUGGUUACCUACAGGAAGAGAAGAAAUCCAAGUAAUGAGCCCAAUACUCCUCCUCAGGAGUGGAACAGGCUGUGGAAAAGAGGAAGGACCAAUAAAUGAGACUGGCAAGGUGGCUCAUGAGUAAAGAAGAAAACCAGAAAAAUGGAAAUCAAUUAAGAAAAUGUUUGGAGGAUGAAAACAUCAGUUAAAUCUGUGUAAUACUGAGAACAAAUAGGGUAACUUUAGAAUUAACAUCUGAAUCAGGAUGCUUUGAGAAUAAGACUAUACAUGGUUGAUUACACGAGAAAAAAUUAUAAACCAAGACUCUCCAAGGACAACAGGAUUGAGAAGUUUCUCCAAAAUUUUGGAGACAGUAAAACUAGGCAAAUUCUUAGAAGAAUUAUUCUAAAAUGAUAAAUUUAAAAAUAAAUGAAGUUCUCCUGCUGGAGAAGUAAGGAAAGAGAAUAUUUGUUUAAGAUGAGGGAACUAACUGUAUGUUUGCAUAAUGGUGGAUGAUCCAGUAGAGAAAGAAAAUUGAUGAGGCAAAAAGAGAGGAGAGAAUUGUGAGAGCAAAGUCAUUGAAUGACUUAAAAAAGAAGGGAUAAUAGUGAAAGAAUAGAAUCCACGCAACUGAGAUUAUGAAAAAGUUGUAUUUAUUAGUAAAAACAAAGUUAAGGUUAUGACUAUUAAAAUGUAUGUCUGAUGUAAAGUGGAAGACAAGGUCAUUUACUAACGGGGGUUGAGAAGCAAACGUGUUGAAAAGAUCAUAUCUGUAUAUGUUGAAAAUGCCAAGAUUUAAGACUAGAAUAGCAUUAGAGAAAUAAAUAAAAUAAACUGAAGUUUAUAAUAUCAGCAAUAUGAAUGGUGGUGGGUGAUAUGGUAAGAUGAUUCAAAAAGAAGAAUUUUAGGGAAGGAGAAAGAAUGAUUUAAAACCGGCAAAGGAGAACAAGAAAGAUAUCUAUGCCACUUCCACGCCCAGUGGCAUGAAAAAGGGAGAAAAAUCGGUGGCCACUUAAGACUGCAGAGAAACAAUGUUCUUAAUAGAUUGUCAUGUUUUCAUCAGAGCAAAAAGGUAAAUGUGUUAUUGAAAACAAAGAUCAAACACAGGGUGGAAACUGAUGAUAAUGAUUUGUGUGAAGGCAAUAGGGAGUGUGGUAGAUGUUGUGAAGGUUAGAAGAAAAAACAAAAGUGAGGGGACAGAUACAGAAUCUUAUACCAAUUAGAGUAUAAGAAAAGAAGAGCGAACUGGAAGUCUAAGAAUUUUUGUUAUGGAUGAUGUAAAUAAGAAUAAAGGAUAUAAUAUAUUUAGUGGUAAAUUGAAAAAUGUCCCAAAGAUAUAUCAAGCCCAAAUCUCCAGCACCUGUAAGUAUUGAUUUAUAGGGCAAAAGAAGUGACUAAGAGAAGAAUUUUUAGAUGAGGAGAUUAUUCUGGAUUAUAUGGAUGGGCACUAAAUGUAAUGAUGUGGGUCCUUUUAGAAAAAUGUAGAAGGAGUUUCCAUACUGACCCACAUAGAAAAGAAUUUGCUGUGUAGACAGAGGCAGAAAUUGGAAUGAUGCGACCGUAUGCCAGGCAAUGCUAGUAGCCAUCCAAAUCUGGAAGACGCAAAGAAUGGAUUCUCCUUUUCAGCCUCUAGAAGGAGGGAAUGAGGCUGUGCCGACACCUUAAUUUCAUCUUAGUGAUACUCCUUUCAAACUUAAGGCCUCCAGAACUAUGAGAGAAUAAAUUUCUACUGUGUUAAGCUUCCUCGUUUGGAGUAAUUUGUUAUCAAAGCCACAGGAAAGAAAGACAUUAGGGAUUCAAAUUGGAUAUUUGUGGCAACAUUAUGAAUCUUUGAUUCUGGCUGUCAACUGGGAUCCUUGGAUUUCUCCAGGUUGGAUGUCCUGGGGCUGGAGGUCAAGGUAGUUCUUUAUUUUAUUUUAUUUUAUUUUAUUAUUAUUAUUAUACUUUAAGUUUUAGGGUACAUGUGCACAACGUGCAGGUUUGUUACAUAUGUAUACCUGUGCCAUGUUGGUGUGCUGUACCCAUUAACUCGUCAUUUAACAUUAGAUAUAUCUCCUAAUGCUAUCCCUCCCCCACUCCCCCCACCCCACGAUAGGCCCCAGUGUAUGAUGUUCCCCUUCCUGUGUCCAUGAGUUCUCAUUUUUCAAUUCCCACCUAUGAGCAAGAACAUGCAGUGUUUGGUUUUUUGUCCUUGAGAUAGUUUGCUGAGAAUGAUGGUUUCCAGUUUCAUCCAUGUCCCUACAAAGGACAUGAACUCAUCAUUGUUUAUGGCUGCAUAGUAUUCCAUGGUGUGUAUGUGCCACAUUUUCUUAAUCCAGUCUAUCAUUGCUGGACAUUUGGGUUGGUUCCAAGUCUUUGCUACUGUGAAUAGUGCCGCUAUAAACAUACGUGUGCAUGAGUCUUUCAUGUCUGACUCCUGGCUCCAGCCAGUGGCUGAGAGUUGGGGCUAGCUGGGGAUGUUUCUUUCUUUUUUUUUUUUUUUUUGAGACUGAGUCUCGCUCUUUCACCCAGGCUGGAGUGCAGUGGCACAAUCUCAGCUCACUGCAAGCUCCACCUCCUGGUUUCACGCCAUUCUCCUUCCUCAGCCUCCUGAGUAGCUGGGACUAUAGGGGCCCGCCACCACGCCCAGCUAAUUUUUUGUCUUUUUAGUAGAGACGGGGU